GAAAUGUAGCUAUGGAAUUUUUGUGAUGGAAUACUACUUUCUUAGUCCCAUAGUCAUAACAGUCAUAACAGUGCUUCUUUCCCAUGGAACUGCUUCUUAAACUGUCAUCACAGUGCUGCUUGCUUGAAUUGCAUUCAUGUCCACAGGCUUAAUUGUCAUAACAGAACUUCAGUAAUUUUGAUCUGUUUGAAUUUCUAGAUUCUGGGUUUUGACAUAUGAAUUCUCAUGUUAAAGAAUAUUUCCCUGAGAGGGUAUAACUGCAAAAUUAGAUUCACAGAGACAGGGGGGAGAAUUAGUGAGAAGAGAAGCAAGUAUAUAUGUGGAAUUCUUCAUAAACGCAUGCCAAUGGAUUUUGACUUCUGGGCAUAACUUUGAAUUCUGAAUUUUAAACUACCACAUGUAAGGACUUUCUAAUAAGCCAUGAUGUUGGGUAAAACAAGUUUUGGUCUUUUUACUUAUGAAUUGUUGUCCUCUGGCACUCUGUCCGUCCCCUUAUUUAUUUUUUAUUUUUAUUUAUUUAUUUAUUUAUUCAUCCUCUAUCAGAAAAAAUAAAAAAGAAAAAAGAAAAAUUCAACAUAUGAGGAAUGCUUCAGGAUUUUAGUAUAUCUGGACAAGUUAUGAUAUUUUAUUAUCAUUUAUUGGUUUUUGUAUAAAGUUUUAAAUUGCAACAUGGUUUAUCCAGCACAGUUGACAGUUUUAAAGAUGAGUAGCAAUGAUGAAGACCAAUAGAAUGAUGACCAUGAUGAUGAAGAUACUGAUGAUGAAGGCAGCACAUCACAAACCCAACAAAAUAAUAAUAUGCUCUUAGUUACGGCGGCUACAGUUGCAGCGACAUAUGCAACAAAUUAUUUGAUAAAAGAACCAUGUAGGACAUCUUGUUUAAUAGGAGGGAUGUGGAUGGUGGAAUUACAAGAAGGGAAUCGAACAAGAAUAUUUGAAAAUUUUCGAAUGGAAAGAGAGGUAUUUUAUCAAUUGUGUAAUUUGUUACAAACAAAUUAUGACCUUCAAACUGGACGACAAGUCUCGGUUGAAGAGCAAGUUGCAAUAUUUUUGUUUAUUGUUGGUGGUGACAUUCGAAACAGAAAUGUCCAAGAAAGAUUUCAACAUUCUGGUGAGACUACUUCAAAAUAUUUUAAGAAGGUGUUAAAGGCUGUUACAAAGAUGUCCAUUGACUGGGUAAGGCCUCAACCGACUAAUGGUGUGCAUCCAUAUAUUCGACGCAACUGCAAAUAUUAUCCUCAUUUCAAGGAUUGUAUUGGAGCAAUUGACGGGACACACAUCAAAGCAUAUAUAUCUCCAGAUAAGCAAGCUCGUCUAAUAGGUAGAAAGGGAUAUGCGACUCAAAACAUAAUGGCCGCAUGUGACUUUGAUGUGUUUCACAUUUUGCUUACCAGGAUGGGAAAGAAGUGCACACGAUACUCGGAUCUUCUUAGAUGCAAUUAAGAAUCCUAGUUUUAAUUUUCCAAAACCACAAGGAGAUGAGUUUUACUUGGUGGAUGCUGGUUAUCCAAACAUGAAAGGAUAUCUUGCACCGUACAAAGGAAAGCGAUACCAUCUAGCUCAAUUUGAACAUGGUCAACCCCCCCAAAAUGCACAAGAAAAAUUCAACCAAACACAUUCCUCACUUAGAAGUGUAAUAGAAAGAACGUUCGGGGUUUGGAAAGCAAGAUGGCCGAUGGUAAAGGAUAUCCCACCAAACUACAAGUGGCCGACCCAAGUCAAACUUGUUUGUGCAACAAUGGCAAUUUAUAAUUUCAUCCGACGAAGUAAGCUCUGCGAUAUUGCAUUUGACUCUUAUGAUAGAUACGCGGAUUAUGUGCCUAAUGAAGAUGAAGGAUCUUCGUCUCAACAAGCACGCCAUGGGAAUGAUGUUGCAUGUGAUGACACCGAAAUGGAAGUGAGGAGACAUAAUAUUUGUAUGUCAAUUUGCAGACGAAAUUAGGAGCUCUAUAAAUAUCUAUGAAGAGCCCUUUUUCUUGCCUUAAUAGUAAUUUAUUAUAUUUUUAUUGCAAUUAAAUUUUUUGUUUUCUUGUCAACUCAA